rnacentral:lncRNA from 1 species
CCACCUAAAGCACCCCGCUCUACUCCACCUAAAUCAAACACCAUUAACAAAUUCAGACCCCGCUCUCAUCCACCUAUAGCACCUCGCUCUCCUCCACCUAAAACAGACACCAUUAAUAAAUUCAGACCUCGCUCUCGUCCACCUAACGCACCUCGCUCUCCUCCACCUAAAGCAGACACCAUUAACAAGAACCCUCAUCAUUCUUCCCCCCCACCUCACCACAACUAAAAAUGGUAUUUAACAAUCUCCACACACAUAUUUUGUACAUAUUUUUCCAUAUAUAUUAUAAUCAUCGACUAUUAUUUUUAAUGAAUCAACAUGUAUUCAACUACAAUAUAUAAUCUUGCAAUUAAAAUGUCAAUGGUAAAAAUAUUUUGGAUUGUCAUCUACUUAUUAUACUAACUAUAUAUCAAGCUUAAACUCUUAUCUCAAUUUGAGAAAAAUAAUCCAUGUUAUGAAACACCCUUUCGGUAUUAAAUACUUUAACUAGUCUAAAUUUCAUAUAAAAUCUUUGUAAUAUUAUAUUUUAUCAAGGAUUAAUCAUGGAGUGAUAUACUAAUACACACAUCUUUAAUUAUGCAGGGUCUCAGGAAAACGCGUGAAGUAAAUGCUAUUACCGAUUAGUGUUUUAUGCAAAGUUCAUAAAUUGAUUAUUGUUUAUAAGAAUAAAAUGUGUGUUUUCAUUUAUUUAUAUUGUGCUUUAGUUGUAUUGUUGUGUUGUAAAGGGCACGAGCACACUGCC